CAGGACAGUGAUGCAGUUUUGUGUCAUGUCACAGAGCACAGCAAUCUAGGUAAAAGGUGAAGGAUAACUUUUCCUUCUAUUCUUGCAUCUCUUCUGUAAAUAUGUAGUUCUAUCAGAGAAGUUUCCUUAAAAAUCAAAAUUCAUAUGAGAAAUUAAACAAAGGAAAGAGAAACAAUUCAGAUGAGGAAAUAACCAAAGCACAACCCAAGAAAUGGUCCCGAACAUAACUUCUAUAGAAUAGAUAAGAACAUGAGUUUAGCUUAGUGCAAGCUAUUUGUAAAUGUUACCAGUAAACUACAUCUAUAGAACAGGGGAAAGACACAUUUUGGCCCAAAUAAAAGCUUUUUAGGAGAGUGUACUUUUUUUAGAAGAGAUUAUCACAGAAUAUUAACAAAAAAUACAUGUAUGAAAAUCAUAUAAAUUAACUAUUUUAAAAUUUAGUGUUCUGUGGAAUAAUGCAAAGACUUUAACCUAUUAUACUCAUUGGAUACCCUAAAUACUAAUCUUACUGUUACUAUAACUUUAAUUACACUUUAAAAAAGAAACAACAAAAUUCUGACAGAAGUUCACCAGUUAUUUUAUAAUUGAUCAACCUCUGUACAAACUAUAAUUUCCCUGUGGGCUUUUUUCCUUUUCUUGUUAAAUUACUUCUUAGUAUUUCUUUCUAGGAGAUCUGCAAACUCUUUUGAUCUCCCUGUAACUGAAAUUCUUAUGCUUAGAGGAUAGUUUAUCUGGUUAUGAAAUUAUAUAUUACCAAUUUUUUUCUUUUAUACUUUAAAGGCUUAUUUUCUUUCAUGUUUUUAUUGAUGAACAGUCUGUUAUCAAUCCAUUUGUCAUUUUAUAAAAGCUUACCUUUUCUCUGAGCUUUUCUUUCUCACUUGAUCUCUACAGUUUUACUGUAACAUAUGAAAGCAUUUUUAUCUUGCUUGGUAUUUAAUGCCUUUUCAGUCCUAGUGCUUAUGGCUUUUUAAAUACUGGAAUAUUCUUGGUCAUUUUCCCCCCUCAAAUAUUAACUUUAUCUCUAACCCAACUUCUUUGUUUGACAAUGGUGAUGGGUGUGUUUUCUGAUUCUAGACACUCCUACACAGACUCAUAGGCAUUUUCCAGUUUGUCAUUCAUGUUCCUAGCUGCUAUCUUUGUAAACAUUUACAUGUCAGGGGUGCAAGUGCAUAUGUGUGCCAUGGCACAUGUCUGGCAGCUCUAGUUAACAGAAGAACAAUAAUCUGAAUCGGACUCCAUACCUGCUUACUCAUGACUUGGUUCAUCUCUUGUGAAUUCAUGGGUCUAAUCCAAAAACUAAGCCCCUAGAACAAUGAAGUAGCUUCAGACCCCAGUGCUCUCCUGUCAUACGGGUAGAUAUGAUUGGGAGGAUGAAUGUGAUGUCAUGCCCUAGACUGAAGAUGCCAUGUGAGAAGUGUUAGGAGCUGUAUUUGGCCAUUUCAUUCUGUUGUUUCUAAGAAAGAGGACUUCAGUUACUUCUUCCUUUUCAUGAUAUACACAGUUCUCAUCUUCCCCAUUCUUUUGGCUAUGUUCACUAUUUACCAAAAUGUGUUUGUGUCCCACUUGUCUCUUUCCAGUAGCAGAAUUUUGAUUUAAUUUAUCAGGCAGAUGCUAUUAAACUUAGAAAUUUUCAGCAAGAGAGAAGUGAUAAAAUGUUUACAGCAAUACUCUGUAUAAUAAAU
rnacentral:lncRNA from 1 species